rnacentral:rRNA from 2 species
AAAUUGAAGAGUUUGAUCAUGGCUCAGAUUGAACGCUGGCGGCAGGCCUAACACAUGCAAGUCGAACGGUAACAGGAAGCAGCUUGCUGCUUUGCUGACGAGUGGCGGACGGGUGAGUAAUGUCUGGGAAACUGCCUGAUGGAGGGGGAUAACUACUGGAAACGGUGGCUAAUACCGCAUAACGUCGCAAGACCAAAGAGGGGGACCUUCGGGCCUCUUGCCAUCAGAUGUGCCCAGAUGGGAUUAGCUUGUUGGUGAGGUAACGGCUCACCAAGGCGACGAUCCCUAGCUGGUCUGAGAGGAUGACCAGCCACACUGGAACUGAGACACGGUCCAGACUCCUACGGGAGGCAGCAGUGGGGAAUAUUGCACAAUGGGCGCAAGCCUGAUGCAGCCAUGCCGCGUGUAUGAAGAAGGCCUUCGGGUUGUAAAGUACUUUCAGCGGGGAGGAAGGUGUUGUGGUUAAUAACCGCAGCAAUUGACGUUACCCGCAGAAGAAGCACCGGCUAACUCCGUGCCAGCAGCCGCGGUAAUACGGAGGGUGCAAGCGUUAAUCGGAAUUACUGGGCGUAAAGCGCACGCAGGCGGUCUGUCAAGUCGGAUGUGAAAUCCCCGGGCUCAACCUGGGAACUGCAUUCGAAACUGGCAGGCUUGAGUCUUGUAGAGGGGGGUAGAAUUCCAGGUGUAGCGGUGAAAUGCGUAGAGAUCUGGAGGAAUACCGGUGGCGAAGGCGGCCCCCUGGACAAAGACUGACGCUCAGGUGCGAAAGCGUGGGGAGCAAACAGGAUUAGAUACCCUGGUAGUCCACGCCGUAAACGAUGUCUACUUGGAGGUUGUGCCCUUGAGGCGUGGCUUCCGGAGCUAACGCGUUAAGUAGACCGCCUGGGGAGUACGGCCGCAAGGUUAAAACUCAAAUGAAUUGACGGGGGCCCGCACAAGCGGUGGAGCAUGUGGUUUAAUUCGAUGCAACGCGAAGAACCUUACCUGGUCUUGACAUCCACAGAACUUUCCAGAGAUGGAUUGGUGCCUUCGGGAACUGUG